rnacentral:rRNA from 1 species
UGCAGUAAGGAUAACAACAGUUUGUUUAUUAUUAAUUAUUAUUAAGCUAAGCAGGGCUGCGCCUGGUCAGUCCCUGGAUGGGAGACCACAUGGUAAAGCUAGGUUGCUGCUGGAA